UACGUAGGGUGCAAGCGUUAAUCGGAAUUACUGGGCGUAAAGCGUGCGCAGGCGGUUCUAUAAGACAGAUGUGAAAUCCCCGGGCUUAACCUGGGAACUGCAUUGGUGACUGCACGGCUAGAGUGUGUCAGAGGGGGGUAGAAUUCCACGUGUAGCAGUGAAAUGCGUAGAGAUGUGGAGGAAUACCGAUGGCGAAGGCAGCCCCCUGGGAUAACACUGACGCUCAUGCACGAAAGCGUGGGGAGCAAACAGG
rnacentral:rRNA from 1 species